GCCAGCUGCCUUCCCAGCUAACAGAGGUUUUCCGGACGCCAUUGGCCAUCCUCCGGUGAAGGUUCUCAGGAAGUCUGCGAGACCCUAGGAACUGCAGACCCUCAGCUGCACCUCCUCACCUCCGAGGAUGACAAAAGCGCUAUUCCUCUCCUUGGCCAGCUGCCUCCUUGUGGUAAAUCAGGCCAAAUUCCCAGUCCUCGGUCGCUGUGAGGUGGCCAAGUUGAUGUCCCAGGAAGACUUGGAUGGGUAUGAGGGCUACUAUCUGAGUGACUGGCUGUGCCUGGCUUUUGUGGAAAGUGGCUUCAAUGUAUCAAAGAUAAAUGAAAAUGCAGAUGGCAGCUUCGAUUAUGGCAUAUUCCAGAUCAACAGCCACUACUGGUGCAAUGAUUACCAGAGUCACUCGGAAAACCUUUGCCACGUGGACUGUGAAGAACUGCUGGAUGCCAACCUUCUCUCAUCCAUCAACUGCGCCAAAAUGAUUGUGUCUUCAGGAGGGGGGAUGAACAACUGGUGAGGACAUUGUGGGACUUAGUUAGCAGGCAGAGCCCCAAGAAGGAGGAUGUGACAGAGAAAGGGGCAACAGGAAAUGACUGGAUAAAAUGGAAAUUGCACUGUUUGGGCCGGCCACUGUCCUACUGGAUGACAGGAUGUCACCUGUGACAAAACAAGGGUGCAGGCCUGCUGUGGAGUCAUUGCGGGACUCUUUUCCUCAUGAGGGUAUUUUUUUUUCUUCUUCCUCUUGCCUCCACUUCAUGUUAUCUUCUUCCCUUCCCGUGUACAAAUAAAUUCCUCUUCCUUCCAACUUCAAAUUGACCAGAGCCCCAGGAAUAAACGGUUCUCUUGGACUUCCUCUUUGUUCUCAUCCAGGCCCAGGACUCUGGUUUCUGACCAUCAUUUGCAAACCAAGAGGACCACAGUGAAGUUUCUGUAUUUUUGGAAUUAUUAAAGCAUUCCCUGUACAAAGACUGUGUCAAUUUAUUCAGUAGUUCCACAUAUAUUUGGGUGUCUAAUGUGGUAGAAGUGUGCUAGAUACUGAUAAGUAAGAUAAAACAUAACUAAAGCUCUUUAAGUUUUCAUAAUCUAGGUGAGGAAGUAGAGACGUACAUGACUAAUUAUAAUGGAUAAUGAAAUGGCUAAUAAAAUCUAUAAUAUUGGUUUGAUACUCUAUCAUGAUAUAAGUAAGCCCUCAGAAGAAGAGAAUGGGUUCAGCUAAGGAUCUGGUAUUGAGGUUGAGAAAGUAGUGGCAGCAAGGGGGAAACGGUACCAAAUCCCAAUAUUUUGGAGUGCUUUGGGAGA